rnacentral:rRNA from 1 species
UACGUAGGCAGCAAGCGUUGUUCGGAAUUACUGGGCGUAAAGCGUGCGCAGGCGGUUCUAUAAGACAGAUGUGAAAUCCCCGGGCUCAACCUGGGAACUGCAUUUGUGACUGUAGAGCUGGAGUACGGCAGAGGGGGAUGGAAUUCCGCGUGUAGCAGUGAAAUGCGUAGAUAUGCGGAGGAACACCGAUGGCGAAGGCAAUCCCCUGGGCCUGCACUGACGCUCAUGCACGAAAGCGUGGGGAGCAAACAGG